AUAAGACUCCUCCUAUUCGAUCGAUAACUAUUUCGGAUAGGGCAAAAUCUUCGUCGUUAGUGACACCUUCUUCCCCAGUCUCAUCUUCACAUAACAACAACAGCAACAACGCUGAUGCACGUGAAGCCGAAAUUAUUACCAACACCACACCCUCGAUAACAACA
rnacentral:ribozyme from 1 species